rnacentral:rRNA from 1 species
UACGUAGGGUGCGAGCGUUAAUCGGAAUUACUGGGCGUAAAGCGUGCGCAGGCGGCGCGUUAAGACAGGUGUGAAAGCCCCCGAGCUUAACUUGGGGAAUUUGCGCUUGUGACUGGCGAGCUGGAGUGUGGCAGAGGGAGGUGGAAUUCCACGUGUAGCAGUGAAAUGCGUAGAGAUGUGGAGGAACACCGAUGGCGAAGGCAAUCCCCUGGGCCUGCACUGACGCUCAUGCACGAAAGCGUGGGGAGCAAACAGG